CCGGACCGGCGCACGGGUGAGUAACGCGUAUGCAACUUACCUAUCAGAGGGGGAGUAACCCGGCGAAAGUCGGACUAAUACCGCAUGAAGCAGGGAUCCCGCAUGGGAAUAUUUGCUAAAGAUUCAUCGCUGAUAGAUAGGCAUGCGUUCCAUUAGGCAGUUGGCGGGGGUAACGGGCCCACCAAACCGACGAUGGAUAGGGGUUCUGAGAGGAAGGUCCCCCACAUUGGUACUGAGACACGGACCAAACUCCUACGGGAGGCAGCAUG
rnacentral:rRNA from 1 species